rnacentral:lncRNA from 1 species
GAUGGGUGGUUUAAAAACACUAAAGAAAUAUAUAACAAAAGGCAACAUAUACCCAUAUGAAGACUUGCCUGUGGCUUUCUGUAGCAGUUAUAUGCUUUUGAAAAUUAUAUGCUUUUCUGUAAAAAAUAUGGGAGCAAAUCUAAAGGAAAACAAUAGAAUCAUCCAGGGUUGUUAAUAAAGGAAAAGAACAACAGGGCUAAGAAUAGGACAAGAAAUAUCUCCAGAUAUAACUGCAGAAAGAAAUGGUAAGGAAAAAAUGCAAAUAUCAUACAGCACUAUGAAAGCUAAGCACUGGAGGAAAGCUUUAUAAUGGAGGUUAAAAUUCCAUUUCUUCCAACAGUGCUGAACAGGAUACUUAGUAUUGCUGAAACAAGAAUCUAUGCUAUUGAGCUAGAGAGACUCAAAAACAAAAGACAUCUACUGAAAACCAACUAGAAAAUUUACCUAUACAGCUCCUGGUAAUUGGUUGCAUGGCUGAGGAUAUUUUGUUUGUUUGGUUUUUUUGAGGUGGGAGCAGGGAAAGGAGGAUAUGUGUGAACUCUAAGCAACUUGACCACAUCCUUGCUUCAGUACUACUUAAAACCACAAAAACAUCAAGGACAUUCCUAGCUGUUUCUUCAUAGCUGAAAAGGCUCUGGGUUGAAUAUUACCUUGAAUACUGCCAUUCUGAACUUGUAAUUACACUUCUGUAGCUGGCUCACUUCGAACUGGAACAGCAGUACCAUGAACAUAAAACAGCAUUCAAGGAGAAGGAACUAUGAAGAUUACGCUGUGGUCAGUACUUAAUGUUAUCUCCAUUUGCUCUUGUUCAGUGUGAGUUCAGGUCUUCAGAUGGCCCCUCUGUGUCUGUGGGAGGAAGGCAAUGGACUUGUUCUCAAAUCCAUUUUCCCACUAAGUGGAACAGAAUCUACAGUCCUGUCUCUUGAAGAAGAGAAGAGAAGUCAUGAAGUAACCUCUCAUCUCCAUAUCCUGAAUCUGGAAAACCUUUCCAAAUGUGGUCAUUAGAACUAUAAUUUUUCUAAAGAAUAUUUUGGUUUUAACAGACAAAUGACUCAUCUAUUUUUUUUUUUCCUUUCUUUCUGAUUUUAUUUUUAAUCUGCUUUGGCUAUAACAGAGACUGCCAUAGCAGCACCCAGAGGGGAUGCUGCACUGCUGAUGCCUGACUCUAUAGAUAUUAUACUUGUUCAGAAAAAAAAAAAUAAAAUAAAAAUAAAGACAAUUUCUUCUAACCCA